rnacentral:lncRNA from 1 species
CUGCGUGUAUGUUGUCAUUAUUUUAUCAACCGUGUAGACGUCGGUUCAUAUUGACCUAUUGCUGUAUAAUUGUGAUGUAAAAAAACGAUUUCAUGUGGAUUAUGUUUUUGUUCAAUGUAGGAUUUAUUAAUCCGUGUGAUCCUGACAAUAGCUAACUGGUGGCUACACAGCGGAUAUAACGUUAACUAAACGAGCCAUGUAAGCUAGCUGGGAGUGGGAGCCAGGGAUGUGCGUCUGUUGAAGUGCAGUGCUUGCUAGCAACUCGUAUUUCCACCAGGAUUCAAAAGAAGUCUACUAAUACGGAGCUGGCAACAUCACUCAAGUUAACUAGUCUU